ensembl:lncRNA
UGAUAUACAUUUAUUAGGCAGCAACAUUGCUCAACAAGUUGCAUUAUUUAUAGUAAUAUAAUUUGAAUAUCAUUUGUUAAUUGUUGAUUAAUAUUUUAUCUUGUAGUAUUAUAUUUUUAGUAAAAUGAGUGUGAUGAACUGAAGAGGAGAAGCAUCAACAUGCAACUGGAAAUCUGAAGGGAUUUUGUAUGAGGGAAUGGUCUCUGAUCUCAUGUCAGAUGUUUUCUAAACUCUUCAGGCAUUUUAGGUGAAGACUCAGAGCUGUUCUCUUGGCAAAAAGAGGUUGCAAAAAGUAUUGGAUAAAAAGGGUGUGAUUAAUUGUGACCAAUGUGUAUUAGAGAAAAAGAUUUCAUAAUGAGAUUUCUCUCCCAUUUUAAAUUCUUAUUCUCCAAUGAAAGAUUACAUUUUAGUACAUUUUUAAAAUAAAAUAUCUAAAGGAUUGAUGAUACAGAUUAAUUUUCACAGCCUCCUUUGAUCAUAUCUACCAAGAGUAUGAAUCAUUUUGAGCACAGCUGUAUAAGUAGUAUAUGGUACAUACAGUAUAAGCAGUAUAUGGUACAUAUAGUAUACUGUACAUGGUAAUGUAUAUGCAAAUAUUAUUACAGUAUAUUUAACUCCACUAUUUUGUAUCCUUUAGCAAUGGCUUCGCUGCGAAGGAUGAUGCCUUUGAUUUAGCUUCUGAAUCAUUUCCCCUGCAUUCUGACAAUUAAAUUUAAUGCUUAUGAGCAUCACAUGGUUUCUUAUUCACCUCACGCUGAUCUGAGAUCCACCAGCCAGUCAACCUCAACAGAGGGUUCCUACGCAUUCAUAGAGGCAAGCAAACUCUCCUGAGGAGAAAACUAGAGGCAUNUUUGGUACGAUUCAAUUGGUCAUUUCUACUCCUCUUCUUCUCUUCUUUAUCUUACCACUUUGUCUGUAAGUGUAGCGAAAUUAGACAAAGAACAGCAUGAGGAACACGGGAGAAGAAUCUCUCGGACAGGUGUUAUCACCUAAGACCCCCCAACUCUGCUGCUCGACACAAAGUCAUCCAUCACCACAGCAACAGUGCCCGACAUUGCCUGGGAAGCGAGGGACUGCCAGGGCAGAUGGAAGAGAGGCAGCUCAACUGGUCUUCCAGCAUCAGGUGGUCUGGGAAUGAUAGAGAGAGACUGAAAGAGACAGAGGGCAUCUUCCUUUGACACCAAGAAGUAAAAAAAAAAAAAAAAACUUUCUUUUUGACACACAGACAGUAAAGACAGGUGUGUCUGUGACUGGAACUCCCAGCUGGAAACUCUAGAAAUAAAUGUACAAAGCCUUCUCA